ensembl:snRNA U6 U6 spliceosomal RNA
GUGCUUACUUCAGCAGCACAUAUACUAAAAUUGGAACGAUACAGAGAAGAUUAACAUGGCCCUUGCACAAGAAUGACACGCAAAUUUGUGAAGCGUUUCAUAUUUAA